UCAAUGAGGUUUUCAGUUUGCA
rnacentral:siRNA from 1 species